CCGGCACGGGUGAGUAACACGUAUCCAACCUGCCGUCUACUCUUGGACAGCCUUCUGAAAGGAAGAUUAAUACAAGAUGGCAUCAUGAGUCCGCAUGUCACAUGAUUAAAGGUAUUCCGGUAGACGAUGGGGAUGCGUUCCAUUAGAUAGUAGGCGGGGUAACGGCCCACCUAGUCUUCGAUGGAUAGGGGUCUGAGAGGAAGGUCCCCCACAUUGGAACUGAGACACGGUCCAA
rnacentral:rRNA from 1 species